rfam:Haemonchus contortus, ISE/inbred ISE, WGS project CAVP01000000 data, contig: Hcontortus_26252
GGCUCAAAUAUGAGGUAGAGUAGAUUAGUGUGGGUCGCUGAUCCCACUAAUCAACCCUACUUCAAAUUUGGGCCA